AUUGAACGCUGGCGGCAUGCCUUACACAUGCAAGUCGAACGGUAACAGGUCUUCGGAUGCUGACGAGUGGCGAACGGGUGAGUAAUACAUCGGAACGCGCCUAGUAGUGGGGGAUAACGACUCGAAAGACUGGACAAUACCGCAUGAGAUCUAUGGAUGACAGCAGGGGCCCGCAAGACCUUGUGCUACUCUAGCGGAGGAUGGCAGAUUAGGUAGUGGGUGGGAUAAAAGCUUACCAAGCCGACGAUCUGUAGCUGGUCUGAGAGGACUGAUCAGCCACACUGGGACUGAGACACGGCCCAGACUCCUACGGGAGGCAGCAGUGGGGAAUUUUGGACGAUGGGCGCAAGCCUGAUCCAGCAAUGCCGCGUGCAGGAUGAAGGCCUUCGGGUUGUAAACUGCUUUUGUACGGAACGAAAAGCCCCGGGUUAAUACCCUGGGGUCAUGACGGUACCGUAAGAAUAAGCACCGGCUAACUACGUGCCAGCCGCCGCGGUAA
rnacentral:rRNA from 1 species